AGGCUGCCGUUAAGAGGAACCAUAGCAGAAACUGGCCAGUUUCACUGCCGGAAGUAGCUGUGUGUCUUCUGAAUAUCCAUGAAGAUUGGGCAUGCUUUGAUGUUUAUAUUUGCUACCAAAAUAUCUAAGCCAGAGUCAGCUGGCAACUCCGGCAGCUAUCGACAUGGUGACACCCUGGGAUGCUUUUUCAGAGAUCCAACAGUAAAAGAAUGGGAAAAAAUAAGAAUCAAGAUACAUUGUGUACAGGUACAUAUUCCCUAUGAUAAAUGUGAUCAUUAUGUAUACCUAAUAUGUACCAAUAAACUUAAUUUAUUUUAAAAAAUAAAGCAGCAACAACAGAAAAGAGC
rnacentral:lncRNA from 1 species